rnacentral:rRNA from 1 species
UGAGUAACCUGCCCUUAACUCUGGGAUAAGCCUGGGAAACUGGGUCUAAUACCGGAUAUGACUCCUCAUCGCAUGGUGGGGGGUGGAAAGCUUUUUGUGGUUUUGGAUGGACUCGCGGCCUAUCAGCUUGUUGGUGAGGUAAUGGCUCACCAAGGCGACGACGGGUAGCCGGCCUGAGAGGGCGACCGGCCACACUGGGACUGAGAUACGGCCCAGACUCCUACGGGAGGCAG